AGCUUUCGUAGGUGAACCUGCGGAAGGAUCAUUA
rnacentral:rRNA from 1 species